GAUGAACGCUGGCGGCGUGCCUAAUACAUGUAAGUCGAGCGAAUGGAUUAAGAGCUUGCUCUUAUGAAGUUAGCGGCGGACGGGUGAGUAACACGUGGGUAACCUGCCCAUAAGACUGGGAUAACUCCGGGAAACCGGGGCUAAUACCGGAUAACAUUUUGAACCGCAUGGUUCGAAAUUGAAAGGCGGCUUCGGCUGUCACUUAUGGAUGGACCCGCGUCGCAUUAGCUAGUUGGUGAGGUAACGGCUCACCAAGGCAACGAUGCGUAGCCGACCUGAGAGGGUGAUCGGCCACACUGGGACUGAGACACGGCCCAGACUCCUACGGGAGGCAGCAGUAGGGAAUCUUCCGCAAUGGACGAAAGUCUGACGGAGCAACGCCGCGUGAGUGAUGAAGGCUUUCGGGUCGUAAAACUCUGUUGUUAGGGAAGAACAAGUGCUAGUUGAAUAAGCUGGCGCCUUGACGGUACCUAACCAGAAAGCCACGGCUAACUACGUGCCAGCCGCCGCCGUAA
rnacentral:rRNA from 1 species